AUGUCGAGGAGGUCUUUCUCUGUGAUGGUCGACUGGAUCCAGUCUCCUUGGACCCAGCCCUUCGGCAGGCGGGAUCUGGAAGAAGACCCUCCGCGGCUGGUAGAUCUCCCCUUCGCCUUCUCCGACGCCGACGCCUUCUUCGCACGUUCCAGCGCCGCCGUCUUCUCCUUGGCCAUAGUUGCCGGCGAGGUGCGCGUGGGGGAGUUGUGCGGGGGCGAGAGCGAGCGCGCUGGACGGGGGCGAAGGGAGCAGAGAGAGAGAGAGAAUGCUGAGGCUCAGUACAGAAAUCCUCGCCGGUCGCAUUUAUAA
rnacentral:rRNA from 1 species